GACGAACGCUGGCGGCGUGCUUAACACAUGCAAGUCGAACGGAAAGGCCCUGCUUUUGUGGUGUGCUCGAGUGGCGAAGGGGUGAGUAACACGUGAGUAACCUGCCCUUGACUUUGGGAUAACUUCAGGAAACUGGGGCUAAUACCGGAUAGGAGCUCCUGCUGCAUGGUGGGGGUUGGAAAGUUUCGGCGGUUGGGGAUGGACUCGCGGCUUAUCAGCUUGUUGGUGGGGUAGUUGCUUACCAAGGCUUUGACGGAUAGCCGGCCUGAGAGGGUUACCGGCCACAAUGGGACUGAGGGACGGCCCAGACUCGAACGUGAGGCAACGGGCGGGAGUAUUGCACAAUGGGCGGAAGCCUGAUACAGCAGCGCCGCGUGCGUAAUGACGGCUUGCGGGUUGAAAACAGCUUUCGCCUGUUACGAAGCGUGAGUGACGGUAACGAGUAAAGAAGCACCGGCUAACUACGUG
rnacentral:rRNA from 1 species